AACGAACGCUGGCGGCAGGCCUAACACAUGCAAGUCGAGCGGGGACUUCGGUCCUAGCGGCGGACGGGUGAGGAACACGUGGGAACAUGCCUUUCGGUACGGAAUAGCCUCGGGAAACUGGGAGUAAUACCGUAUACGCCCUUUGGGGGAAAGAUUUAUCGCCGAAAGAUUGGCCCGCGUUAGAUUAGCUAGUUGGUGGGGUAAGAGCCUACCAAGGCGACGAUCUAUAGCUGGUUUGAGAGGAUGAUCAGCCACACUGGGACUGAGACACGGCCCAGACUCCUACGGGAGGCAGCAGUGAGGAAUAUUGGACAAUGGGGGCAACCCUGAUCCAGCCAUGCCGCGUGAGUGAAGAAGGCCCUAGGGUUGUAAAGCUCUUUCAGAUGUGAAGAUGAUGACCGUAGCAUCAAAAGAAGCCCCGGCUAACUUCGUGCCAGCCGCCGCCGUAACAC
rnacentral:rRNA from 1 species